rfam:TPA: Bos taurus chromosome 27, whole genome shotgun sequence.
UCCCUGGUAGCUAAGCUGGUAAAGAAUCCACCUGCAAUGCAGGAGACCCAGGUUCAAUUCCUGGGUCAGGGAA